GAAUUCUGCUUGUUUGUAGUAUUUGUGUGAGUUAAAGAUACAAAAAUGGAAAAGUAAAAUAAAAAACGAAUAACAAUAAUGAGUAACAAUUACAUUUUACAUUACAUUUAAGUCAUUUAGCAGACGCUCUUAUCCAGAGCGACUUACAAAUUGGUGCAUUCACCUUAUGACAUCCAGUGUCCAACAAUAACUUGACUAUAUACAAGAAGUACCAGUACUGAGUCGAUGUGCAGGGGCACAAGGAAAUUGAGGUAGCUACAGUAUGUACAUAUAGGUAGGUGUAAAGUGGCUAGGCAACAUGAUAGAUAAUAGACAGUAGCAGCACUGUGUGUGAGUGUGUGUGGCGUCAGAAUGCAUGUGUGCGAGUGUUAUGUGUGUCUGUGGACGAGUGUGCUUGAGUGACAUCACUGUUGAAGAAUGCAGUCUGGUAGUCCCCAAGUACUGAAAUAAGUAUUCCUUACCUCUGGGUCAGAGAACAAAGAGUAGUUUGGCGGAAGUCUUGAAACAGGGUGUGCACGUUAACUUAGACUAGAGUAGCAAAACAGUUGACCUAUAACAGAGACCUUGAGAGAGUGGGCAUGUCUCAACACAUAGUUAUCCAAUUACCUAAAUCAUUCUUACUUACGAUGGACCAAAAAUAUUGGGAAUUGUAUGUGUGUAUGUGAAACAAAGCGUGCAUGAAAGGUGUGAGUUUAAAAGAGGGAUACAGGGGGAGACAGACAUGAAUACAGUGUCAUAAAGAUAUUAUUAACAUGUACUGAGGAGGAUAAGGAAGGACAGAGUACAUGAAACCAAGCUGUUUGUUUUCCCUCAAGGCAAGGCAUGUUUUGACUCACCUAUGCAAGUUUUCAGGAAUGUUGCACAAAGAGAGCAAGAGAGAGAGAGAAGAGAAGCUAAGAGGCACUGUAUUCCAUAACAUCGUGAUUGAUAGAAUAAUAGAAUGUGGAGAACCAACAAGUAUGGUUGAAGUGGAGGUAGAGUGUAGUUAGAUAUAGAUAAAGGUAGGGCCUGAGAGUGUGGGAGGGAGUGGGACGAAAGAGGAGGUUAAAGUGUGAACAGUAAAGGGGCGUGGAGGUUUCACACAAGAAAGAGUUAUAAUCCACUCCCAGUUUCUCAUUUUUCAGACACCACUAACUUUCAUGGUGACCACAACCAAAACUGAGACUGUAGAAGAAAGACAGCCAGAUUGCUCAAGAAAAUAUUAUAAACAAGAAAUAUCUGGAUAACAUUUGGACAUGUUAACUCAAGUCUUCACGAACCUGAAGCCACAACCAACUAGCAACUGUGAUCAUUAACUAAAUCCAGAAAGGAAAAUAAAUCAAAGAAAAUAUCAGCUUUCUUCUUCACAACUCUGUCAGCCGUCAUAAGUGAGGAUUUCAGUUUGACUGGAGAGUAGACAGAGGCAUACAGAGCUGUACUUUCCCAAUCAAGAUCAAGCCUGGACUAAAAUGUCUGCCCAAUCAGCAACAAUGGAGGAUAUUCCACUGACUGCUGUCCCAGGGACAGGUGAAACGACAGAUGCCCAAAAUGACACCACCUGCCUUCAAGUGAUCACCUGCUGUGGUCGUGACCAUACUGUUCCCUCCUGUGCCAAGGACAGGGACUAUAGGAGACUGGCCAUUAGCAGCAUCAUCUGUGGACUCUCCUGCAUUGGCAUUUUAGCUUUGGUCAACUCAGUCAAGGCUCGAGAGGCAAGGAAGACGACUCCAGAGAAGGCUAAACAAUACUCCCAACGGGCAAGAAAGUUUGGGAUCAUUUCUAUUGUGGUGUGGGUGGCGAUUCUGGUAUUCAGCCCACUACUAUUGGUACUGGUGUCAUACAUACUCACUCUGAUAGACUGACCAAUUCCCAGGAACCACCAAGGUGAAUGUACUGUACCAUAAGGAUGGCUACAGGACAGCGGUCCAACUUCUUUAGUAUUGAUCUUGGACUGCCGUGACACUGUGAGGUGGGAAUUGAUGGAAAAGCACCUCCAGUGACUCAGGGAGACUCCACUGUAUACAGCCUUCCUAAGUAUCAUUCUGAUAAGGCUGUCUUGCUGAUAAGGAUUUACAAAGGCACCUUUAACUUUCUUUUGUGUCACUCUGGAAUUUAUCGCUGGAAGAAUGGUUUAUAGUUAACAUUCAAGUGAUACCACAGCUAUAAAUACAUCAUAAAUAUUAAGAUAUUUUGACAUUUAUCAGUAGCCCAACCAGACUUUUAGCACUUAGAGUAAGGACUGUAGUCAAACUACCUUCUUCCUGAAUAAGAGGUUGGUUCGGAGACGAGAGAUGAGCAAGGGGACACAAAAUAACCACUUGUUUUUGAGAUAGCAUUUAAUGGACACGGUUUAUUUUUUGACAUGAGUCCAGGACUGUUUGAGUAUAAAACAGAUUUAAAAAUUCCUAUAUAAAUUCAAAACAAACUGUGAGGCACUAUACAGGGGCCUGACUCCAAAACACUCCCAUGUCCACUAUCUGUCUCACUUUUACCAUUUAUGAUAUGCAACAUGAACUUCAUUUUUGAACAAUGUUAUAUUUUUAUUUAGCAGUGAAAUUAAUUAUUUGUAUAUGUGAGGAACUAACUAUGAAUGUCUAAUUAUAAAGGACAGAUUGUGAACUAGGUAUAAUUAAAUCAGUGCAGUGUUUCGGAUUUACAGUAAUAGUGAAAACUGCCUUUGGUUUUAAAUACCAAAAAUGUACAAUACUUCAUUUUGGUUACAUUACCAUUUCUACAUUUACUGUAUUCAUGUUAUUGCCUUACUUUGUAUUUUAUAUUUAUGCAUUGCAUGUUUAAAAUGAUUUUUUUAUUCAAUUAAAAUAUAUUUACAUCAA